UACGGAGGGUGCAAGCGUUAUCCGGAUUCACUGGGUUUAAAGGGUGCGUAGGAGGACUGGUAAGUCAGUGGUGAAAUCCCCGAGCUUAACUUGGGAACUGCCGUUGAUACUAUCAGUCUUGAAUACCGUGGAGGUGAGGGGAAUAUGUCAUGUAGCGGUGAAAUGCUUAGAUAUGACAUAGAACACCAAUUGCGAAGGCAGCUCGCUACACGAAUAUUGACUCUGAGGCACGAAAGCGUGGGGAUCAAACAGG
rnacentral:rRNA from 1 species